GCCUUUGUCGCAUAGUGGUAGUGCACACGAUUGGAAAUCGUGGCCCUCUGGGCUCCGGGGUUCGAUUCCCCGCAAAGGCG
rnacentral:tRNA from 1 species